rnacentral:rRNA from 1 species
CGCAAGCCUGACGGAGCAAGACCGCGUGGGGGAGGAAUGCCUUAGGGUUGUAAACCCCUUUUAUCUGGGAAGAACAAAAUGACGGUACCAGAUGAAUAAGCCUCGGCUAACUCCGUGCCAGCAGCCGCGGUAAUACGGAGGAGGCAAGCGUUAUCCGGAAUCAUUGGGCGUAAAGCGUCCGCAGGUGGCUCAUCAAGUCUGCUGUUAAAGACAGAAGCUCAACUUCUGAGAAGCAGUGGAAACUGGUGAGCUAGAGUAUGGUAGGGGUUGAGGGAAUUCCCAGUGUAGCGGUGAAAUGCGUAGAUAUUGGGAAGAACACCAGUGGCGAAGGCGCUCAACUGGGCCAUAACUGACACUCAGGGACGAAAGCUAGGGUAGCG